UUUUUAAUAUGCAUUUUUAUCUUAUUAUCGAGAAGAGCAUUUGUUAUUGGACUACAGCACUUAACUUCACUGCAGACUAAUUAGAGCCAUUUUACAACUAUUAUUGUUGAUAAGGGCCAAAGAGGUCUGCAGAGAGACUUGUAUUGUCCAGGCUAUUUCUUGGCAUGCAGUUAUGUCCAUGUGGGUGAGUAAUUCUAGCUCCCUUGCAAUGUCUCCUUGACAACUAACAAUAAUACACCUCCUCUUAAUAGCGCAAGAAAUCACACACAAGAUGUGUAGAGGCACACUUGGAAUGUGUGUGUGUGUCUGCUGUGUAUCUGUAUACGUGGACGCAUUGGUCACACAUGCAUAAUGCACCUUUACGUACACGCAAAAACACCUUCAUGCAGUCAGACCUUAGAUCGUGUUCACGACAGCAGCCUACAUGUGAGUUUUUUUGCCCAGGAAGAGAGACUGGACCAGGGGGAACACCUUAACAGGUAGCCCUGGGGUGCUUAACAUAGUCCGGGCAGCCAGGGGGAGAGAGUGGCUCUGGGAAGCCGUACCACCACUAUCCUCUCUGUCCACUGAUUAUGAAGCAGGUCCCAGACGGGUGCCUUUAGGAACCCCCCAGGCUACUCACAGCCUCCUUCUCCUCUGUUACAGGAUCUGUCGCUGGGGGAUUCGACUGAAGUGUGAAGAGGGGUGUAUGCAGGAGACAUGCUGAGAAUUCUAAAUAGUCCCCCAGCCAGCUCCCCGGGCCCCCGAAGAGGAACCAGCGGCAUGAUGUCACACACCUGUUUGGCUGGAGGCUGCGGCCCGGCGAUGCUUGCAGCCGUGGGUGUCGCGCUGGCACCCCUCGGCCUCCCCCAACCCCACCUCACCCCACCCUUGUCGCUGCCUGCUACGCCCCGUGGAUGUGUCAAAAUGGCAGAUGAUGGUUGGGGUGUGUGCAGCUGCUUGGGAAGAGGAGUGCCAAGGGCGCUCAUUUCCUGCGGUCAGUGCAAAGCCAAGAUAUUCCUGAGGACUGAUUAGGCUCAUGCUUGUACUUUCAAAAUGCUGAUUAUUGCAGGGACCCGACAGGCCUUGUGUUUUUCUCCAAGCAUUCUGGGGAUGUGAGUCCGAAAGUAGCCCCAUGGUGCCGUGACCCCUGACCU
rnacentral:lncRNA from 1 species